rnacentral:antisense_RNA from 1 species
CAAACCAUCACAAGAACCCCAGGCAGGGCUGGAUCAAGGUGAGGGCUGGAGGAUACCUGUGGCCCCUGUGGGGACCCUCUGCCCUGCCCACUGCCUUCUGCCCCUGGACCUCACACUGGUCUGCCUGUCUGGGAGCUGCAGGAGGCAGGGAAGAUGUAAGGACAGCAAAGAUCCAAGCCCAGGCUCCAACCCGAGGCCUGGCAUCCAGCAGCGACCCCAUUGUGGGCGCCGAGGGGGACAGGAGCCCCUGCUUGCACAACACAAAGCAGGAGGCCUGUGGGGGUCCCCGCUGUGUCAGCGUCUCGCCAGGUAAUGGCUCAUCUCUAAUGAGCUCCUGGACCAUUGAUGCCAUCUCUCAGCACACUGCGUGACUGAUGUCCUCUGGAGGCGGCUUGUGCGUCCCCCAGAGCCCUGGCCUGGUGGCCCCGAGCCCAACAGUGACUCUCACUCCAGGGCACAAGGCACUGCUGGGGACACUAAGCCACUGGGGAGGCACCGAAGGUGGGGCGGUUAGGGAGGGAUUCCUGCAGGAGGGGACACCUCACGCUGGGUUUGGAAGGACUGACAAGGGGCAUAAGUGGGAGGGUUCUAGGUGAGGGAACAGUGCGUAAGUGCAUACAUGCAUGUGUUUGUGCACACAGAGGAGAGAGGGGGCCAGGUGUGUUGGGAACCCUAAGCCUGCAGGGACAACCUGGGUGGGGGGGAUUGUUUGAGUUUGGGCUCAUCCUGUGGCCCCAGUGGGGGUGCUCCAUGGCCGGUGAGCCUGGGGGCACAUAGUCUGGGCCUCAGGAACGCACUGCCCGAGUCCGGGCAGAG